rnacentral:rRNA from 1 species
CCUACGGGAGGCAGCAGUGGGGAAUAUUGGGCAAUGGGCGCAAGCCUGACCCAGCAACGUAGCGUGAAGGAUGACUGCCCUACGGGUUGUAACCUUCUUUUAUAGGGACGUAAAGUGAGACGCGUGUGCCUGUAUAUGUGUCCUUUAUGAAUGUGCAUCGACUAACUCCGUGCCAGCAGCCGCGGUAAUACGGAGGAUCCAAGCGUUGUCCGGAUUUAUUGGGUGUAAAGGGAGCGUAGAUGGGUUGGUAAGUCAGUUGUGAAAGUUUGCGGCUCAACCGCAAAAUUGCAAUUGAUACUGGCAGCCUUGAGUGAAGUUGAGGUAGGCGGAAUUCGUGGUGUAGCGGUGAAAUGCUUAGAUAUCACGAAGAACUCCGAUUGCGAAGGCAGCUUACUAAACUGCGACUGACAUUGAGGCUCGAAAGUGUGGGUAUCAAACAGGAUUAGAUACCCGGGUAGUC